GUGGGCACUCUCUCCCAUGAUGCUGUUAAUCAUUUCCUCUGACAUGCCAGGAACUGGGCUAGCCUGUAGAGAAACACAUGACAAAAACAAAACAAUCCCUGCUCUCAAGAAUCUCCUAAUGGGGCAAGAACCUAUAAAUGUAUGAGUGUAUACAAAGUACAUACAGAGCAGAUAAUAAGGUAACCUGGAGAGACAUGAGGUGUCCGGAGGAUCCUGUACCCCUAUACCAGCACCCUAAGGAAUAGGACCGCUGAGCCAACUCUUGAAGGAAAGCAUGGAUUCCAAGAGGCAAAAAUGAGAAGUCAUCUUCCACACGAAUAAGACAAUUGAUACAAAGACAUGGAGGUGGGAGAUAGAAUCUGUGGAAAAUUUCAAAAAGCAUUUUCAUUAUGUUGGAUAUCACUGAAAAGUACCAGCUUAUGUUCCUUGGAGGGAAGAAUAUGUGCUCCAACUUUCCACCAACAUAAGGGAAAUCAGGAAAUGGAAAAUAAAGCUGAUCACUUAACUUGAGUGUAAUU
rnacentral:lncRNA from 1 species